rnacentral:snoRNA from 1 species
GGCUGGUGAAGAUCCCUCUCUUCUGAGCACUGGUCCUUCCGCUGGGAAAGCU